rnacentral:rRNA from 1 species
AUCUACGGCCAUGCUACCCUGAACAAGCCCAAUCCCAUCUGAUCUUGGAAGCUAAGCAGGGUCGGGCCUGGUUACUACUUGGAUGGGAGACCAUCUAGGAAGACCGGGUGCUGUAGGUG